UGGUGGCAUUUAAAGAACAACAUGUCUACCUGAUACAAUCUUCCUAGAGUAAAUUUGUCAUUUCCUGCUUGUGGUAUCAUAGGAAGUUCUGCAAGCCUCAAACGGCAAAACAACCAU